rnacentral:rRNA from 1 species
GAUGAACGCUGGCGGCGUGCUUAACACAUGCAAGUCGAACGGGAAAUAUUUCAUUGAGACUUCGGCGGAUUUGAUUCAUUUCUAGUGGCGGCCGGGUGAGUAACGCCUGGGUAACCUGCCUCAUUCAGGGGGAUAAUAGUCAGAAAUGGCUGCUAAUACCGCUUAACCGCACCGAGCUGCAUGGCUCAGUGUGAAAAACUCCGGUGGUAUAAGAUGGACCCGCGUUGGAUUAGCUAGUUGGCGGGGUAACGGCCCACCAACGCGACGAUCCAUAGCCGGCCUGGGAGGAUGAACGGCCACAUUGGGACUGAGGCACGGCCCAGACUCCUACGGGAGGCAGCAGUGGGGAAUAUUGCACAAUGGGGGAAACCCUGAUGCAGCGACGCCGCGUAAAGGAAGAAGUAUCUCGGUAUGUAAACUUCUAUCAGCAGGGAAGAUAGUGACGGUACCUGAGUAAGAAGCCCCGGCUAACUACGUG